rnacentral:rRNA from 1 species
UACGGAGGGGGCGAGCGUUAUUCGGAAUUAUUGGGCGUAAAGGGCGCGUAGGCGGCCCGGUAAGUCAAAGGUGAAAUCCCUCGGCUCAACUGAGGAACUGCCUUUGAAACUGUCGGGCUUGAGGCCGGGAGGGGGUAGCGGAAUUCCCAGUGUAGCGGUGAAAUGCGCAGAUAUCAGGAGGAACACCGGUGGCGAAGGCGGGUCUCUGGGCCGAUACUGACGCUGAGGAGCGAAAGCGUGGGGAGCGAGCAGG